CAUAAUACUUCUCAUUUCUAAUCCCCCAGUUAAUUAAUAACACAAAUACACAGAUCUUUCUGCAUUAGUUGAAAACCCUAGCGCCUACCGCUACCAUCUUCACAUCAGCUCUAACCAUCUUCUCCUUUUCCAACUACGUCACUGUCGGCUACCUCUUCGGAAUUAAGCCCGAGAUCAAAGGCUCAUCGAUGGUCACCGGAGGCUUGAUCGGAGUUAUGCGUACGAGAACUCUACUGGACGUUUGAUGGGAACUAUGGAAGUUCCACCUUUGAUUUUCAAGAACUUCUGGCAUGUCCGGUUUAUGCAGUCUGGGUCAUUCCCAGAUCAACUUGGUGUCCAAAGAGAGGAUGCGUAAACGAACCACACUGAUGAAGUUUAUGAAGGAGAUAGCUUAUGAUGGAGUUGAAAUACUUGACAAUGAUAAUGCUGGGAAAGGAGUAGAGGAAUACUCGGCUGCGGAUAUGGAUGGCAUUCGCGAAAAUUGGUCAACUUAUGCGGUUACCUCUAUUUUUAAGUGACAAAUCGUAUUUUAGGUGUUGAUAAUGUAUUGACAAACAAUUCUUUUUUUGUUAACGUUAAAAUAAUUAUAGUAUACUUGACAAAUGAUUAUGUAAUGGAUUGUUUUGGUAUAUAUA